rnacentral:rRNA from 1 species
GACGAACGCUGGCGGCGUGCCUAAUACAUGCAAGUCGAGCGAAUGGAUGGGAGCUUGCUCCCUGAAGUUAGCGGCGGACGGGUGAGUAACACGUGGGCAACCUGCCUGUAAGACUGGGAUAACUUCGGGAAACCGGAGCUAAUACCGGAUACAUUCUUUCUUCGCCUGAAGAAAGAUGGAAAGAUGGUUUCGGCUAUCACUUACAGAUGGGCCCGCGGCGCAUUAGCUAGUUGGUGAGGUAACGGCUCACCAAGGCAACGAUGCGUAGCCGACCUGAGAGGGUGAUCGGCCACACUGGGACUGAGACACGGCCCAGACUCCUACGGGAGGCAGCAGUAGGGAAUCUUCCGCAAUGGACGAAAGUCUGACGGAGCAACGCCGCGUGAGCGAAGAAGGCCUUCGGGUCGUAAAGCUCUGUUGUUAGGGAAGAACAAGUACCAGAGUAACUGCUGGUACCUUGACGGUACCUAACCAGAAAGCCACGGCUAACUACGUGCCAGCAGCCGCCGUAAAAC